CUGAGAUAGUCGGGGAGCCAGUUGGCUGAGAAUGCAGUUUGCAUGACCCGUUGAACCUGAUUCAGUUAGCACUGACGUAGGGAACUAUUUGUGUCGCCGU
rnacentral:ncRNA from 1 species